rnacentral:rRNA from 1 species
GAGACAGUUCGGUCCAUAUCCGGUAUAGGCGUAAGAGCAUUGAGAGGCGUUCAACAUUGUACGAGAGGACCCGAAGGGACGUACCGAUGGUGUACCAGUUCUUGUGCCAACAGGAAACGCUGGGUAGCUAAGUACGGAAUGGAUAAUCGCUGAAAGCAUCUAAGUGAGAAGCCUACCUCAAGAUGAAUGCUCUCCAUCAGAUCGCGGCAAGAC